ACGUUGUUUCAGAUGUCCACAUUCUAAGCCAUCUUUAAUAGAGACUCCGUCCUAUGAAAUGUGGGAUAUUUAAAGUGUGAAAAAUUUCUAGUGUUUUGAUCUCUUUGGAGUGGCAAUUUUGUACCUAAAAGACACUUCCCCCCUCUUUGUUUCGAAUUAAAGUCGAAUAGUGAAAGUGGGUACAUUGUAUUAUGUACCGUCCCUUGGGCAGUGUUCCAAUCAGUUUCUUUUCUACCAAUUUGGGUAUGACACAAUCAGACCGUACCUUAAUCAGCUACAAUACUCGGACUGUGUACGAAAAAUAGCUUCCUUUGAAUGUGUGUAAGUUAUGUAUAUACCAACCUUCAAUCGCGCCAUUAACGAAGAUAUCAGGUGUAGGUUAAUUCCCCCAAAAGAGCCUUCCCAUUUUGAGCUACCAGACCACGAACUGAAGUCAGUGAAGUUGAAAGACUAGCUUCCAGUCCGCGUCAGGACGAGUUGUCGUGCUGGUUACCGUUUCACCCCAUUGCAGACACACAGCGCGGUGUGAACAGCCGUCAUAACACCUGUCUGCAGAACGUAGGAAUGUCGUCUUGUACGUCUGACUCGAACAGGUAGAACCCAGCAAAGUUUCGAGCUACAGGAGUUCUUGCUACAGGCCCUGGAGUGGGGGAAGAAACCACACGAACUGAAACAAGAUGGGGAACAAGAAUAGUCAUUCAGACCACCACUCAAGGUCACCAAGAAACGCAGACGAGGCAGGGGAAAAUGGCGAAAGGAGUGUGUCAUUGAAAGACCGGUUGAGGGCUGCAAGUGACUCAGCAGCGUCGUCAGGACAGAGUAAUGCAGCAAAGAAGAAAGCCAAAGGAAAGAAGGAUAAAGAAAAGAGAAAAGCAAUUAACUACAAAUUCUAAGGAAUUGCUUGUAUUUUCAAGGCUGACCAAUCAUUUUAAUGGUUUUGACAAAAUAGCUGGACAUUUAUGAAGUACAGAAUAUAUAGUUUUAUCUGGACUUACAGAAUACUGUUUGUCAAAGUACAACCAGGGAAAAAGCAGCUAAGUUAGAUGUUUUCGUUUUACAUGGAAUGCUAGAUGUACUGUUAUACAGUAUUAGCUUCUUUUACAUGGACAGCCUAUAAGUUGGCGUCUUUGAGAAAAUGUAUGUAGCUUGUUAUCUUGAAUUUACCUUGAUUCGUGAAUGUAUUUGAAAUUUCAUCUAAAGAUUGGACUGUUCUUGAAAUGUGUAUGUUUAAAACGCAUUACGGUUGAUACAACAGUUGAUGUAAUGACUUUACGUGCCUUAGGUUUGAUAUCUUAAAUGGGCGUGGAUUUGCACUGACGUGGAAAUGGUGUGACUUGUUUUUAAGCGACUAUGUGGUAAAAUAUUGAAAUUUUCUGCGUGCAGUUUUAACGUUGUUGUCAUGGGGAGAAGAAAAGGGAUCUCACUAUUUGAAUGUAAACGGAAUUGCAACUUUGUUUGAAUUUCGAGCUGUGGUAUACAAGCAGAAUCUCCCCAAAUGUCAGAUUUUCUUACUUCUGUUAACAUGUUUGAACCAGUGUGAUUUAUCUUUAAUUUUGUGAAUAACAAGCUAUAUUUGCCGGGCCAAAAACAAACUAUUAUCAAAAAUACGAUAUCGUUUGAAAUUAUUUUGGAAAAUGUGUACAGAUAAAGGGAAACAAUAAAAUAUUGUCUUCCUGUU